rnacentral:rRNA from 1 species
CUUUUUGAAAAUCUUGAAGAAUACUCCAAAUUUCUGAUAGUUGCAAGUAAGCAUUUCAGGUUGUUGACAGACACAAUUUGAGGUGAUCUCCAGAAAGUAUUUUAGAAGAUGUCAGCAACAAAAAGAUUUGGAGCAGCAACUUGGUCAUAAUUAGGGACAAAUGUCCAUAUUUCGACAAAAUUGCGUGAAAUUCGCCAACAAGUUUCUGCCAAACUUAUUUUGUUACUUGGAACCAGGUUCCCAGGUUCCACCACUAAUUC